CGCCAGACUCCUACGGGAGGCAGCAGUCGGGAAUAUUGCGCAAUGGAGGGAACUCUGACGCAGUGACGCCGCGUAUAGGAAGAAGGUUUUCGGAUUGUAAACUAUUGUCAUUAGGGAAGAAAAAAGACAGUACCUAAGAAGGAAGCUCCGGCUAACUACGUGCCAGCAGCCGCGGUAAUACGUAGGGAGCAAGCGUUAUCCGGAAUUAUUGGGUGUAAAGGGUGCGUAGACGGGAAAUUAAGUUAGUUGUGAAAUCCCUCGGCUCAACUGAGGAACUGCAACUAAAACUAUUUUUCUUGAGUGUUGGAGAGGAAAGUGGAAUUCCUAGUGUAGCGGUGAAAUGCGUAGAUAUUAGGAGGAACACCAGUGGCGAAGGCGACUUUCUGGACAAUAACUGACGUUGAGGCACGAAAGUGUGGGGAGCAAACAGGAUUAGAUACCCCUGUA
rnacentral:rRNA from 1 species